ACACCAGUGGGAACUGGAAGGGCCGGCCCGUGCGGGGGUCUGUACCGUAAUGCAGGCGGGCCGAGGAGGGCACCACCGACAGCUUCUCCCAGCCCUUUCCUCCGAGGCCUCGGAUGGCCGCUUUUAGCUCGGGGUGCGGCCUGAGCUCAUCCCCGAAGGCCUGUGCCACCGCCUCAAAGGUCACGUCGUCGUGAGUGGGGCCGAUGCCCCCUGCUGUGAGGACGUGGGUGAAGCGGCCAGAGAAAGAAGCGACCUCGGCAGCAAUGGCGGCCACCUCGUCAGGGACGACAGAGACCCGGCACACCCGGACCCCCAGGGAGCGCAGCGUCCGGCACAAGAAUCCCCUGGCUCCACGUGCUUACCGGGCACCUCAACUGUAUGCCUGACCGUUGUCACUUCAGCCAGUGGCACCCCCAGUCAGUGAGGCCCUUCUGCCGUCGGUUCUACUGAAAUGUCUCCCCGUCUGCUCUCUUCUCGUGGUGCCUACUGCCACCAGGCAGGUCCUUGGCACCCACCAUCCGCACAGUGCCGAGGCCCCCUGGUAGGCUCCGGCCGCCAGCCACAGCACUCUGCCCAGUGCCUCCUGACUAACCUUUCUAACGUGUUACUGUGAUUGCAUCACUCUUGGGCUCAAAGACAGUGUUGUUUCCAACCAUAUACAGAAUAAAGUUCAAAUUCCUUUGCAGAA